rnacentral:lncRNA from 1 species
UUAAACAGAUGUAUUACAAACUGAUUUUGAAAACAAUUAGUUCAGGAAAUUACGGGCAAGAUGGAAAAUCAUAGGGAAUCAACACUAAGUAAGGAAAGCAUCUUACAAACAAGGAAGUGAUGCAAAUUAGUAGAAAAUCUCCAAAGAAAUCAUAUACAAAAAAUAGGGAUUCGAAGAGACAUACAUAAUUGGCAGAACAUUUAGUAAAUAGAAACAUUAGUCUUAUUUAAACACAAUAGGCACAAAACCAAAGAACCCUAAGUAAGAAAUCAGAGAAUCAAUGGAACGUUAGAACAAAAUUAAAGCAUAGAAAUUGGGAAAUAACCUAGAAGAUCACACAAACAAGCAGAAGUACAGAAACAAACACAUAGUACUAGAAAACAUCAAAAGAUAUAGUGAUUUUGAAAGGGGUUUAGAAACCCUAGUUUUAAAAGAAGAAGAAAACGUUGAAAACUUGAGCAAUCGUAAAGAUCCAGUAAAGAGUAGUGUAAAACACAAAUGAAUAAGCUAAAUAUCAUUUUAAAAGAUAGAUAUUAAGAGUUCUAGGUAGAAAUUAGGAUUUCGUAAGAAACCAGUGUGAGGUAAGAAACCUGGCUGUGAAACUGGUUACUAAUGGUAUUCGUAGUACCAUCAGACCAAACACUAUCGAAUAAAGGCCGGAGAGAAGCCAGGCAAGGCCUCCGAUGACAAUGUUGCAUGGUGGAAGCCUAUGAAGUCCAGAUAUAGAGAGAAUCAAUAAGACACGGUUCCAUGGUGACUGGUGGUUGACAGAAGUGAGGGUGGAGGUGGCCGGAGAGGCGGUGGCUUCAUCAGAGAUGACAGAGAACGAGAAGAUUCUAGAGAGAAAAUG